rnacentral:rRNA from 1 species
GUGAAUGCCUUGGCACUGGAAGCCGAUGAAGGACGCGACUAACCGCGAAAGUCUUCGGGGAGCCGUAAGUAGGCUUUGAUCCGGAGGUCUCCGAAUGGGGGAACCCAGCAUGUGCAGACAUGCUAUCCUUAAGUGAAUACAUAGCUUAAGGAGGGAACACGCAGUGAACUGAAACAUCUAAGUAGCUGCAGGAAGAGAAAGAAAUAUCGAUUUCCCAAGUAGCGGCGAGCGAACAGGAAAGAGCCCAAACCGGCAGAUUUAUCUGCCGGGGUUGUAGGACUGAGACAUGGCACUUCAGAGGAUAGCAGAAGCGUUUGGGAAAGCGCGCCAGAGAGGGUGAGAGCCCCGUAAGCGAAAUCCAAAGAAGGCCUAUCAGUAUCCUGAGUAGGGCGGGACACGUGAAAUCCCGUUUGAAUCCGCGAGGACCAUCUCGCAAGGCUAAAUACUAACCAGUGACCGAUAGUGAACCAGUACCGUGAGGGAAAGGUGAAAAGAACCCCGGGAGGGGAGUGAAAGAGAACCUGAAACCGUGUGCCUACAAGUAGUCAGAGCCCGUUAACGGGUAAUGGCGUGCCUUUUGUAGAAUGAACCGGCGAGUUGCGUUAGUCAGCAAGGUUAAGUCAGAAAAGACGGAGCCGUAGCGAAAGCGAGUCUGAAGAGGGCGAGCAGUUGGCUGACGCAGACCCGAAACCAAGUGACCUACCCAUGACCAGGUUGAAGGCGCGGUAAAACGCGCUGGAGGACCGAACCCACGUAAGUUGAAAAUUGCGGGGAUGAGUUGUGGGUAGCGGUGAAAUUCCAAACGAACUUGGAGAUAGCUGGUUCUCUCCGAAAUAGCUUUAGGGCUAGCCUCGCAAAGAGGAUGCUGGAGGUAGAGCUCUGUUUGGACUAGGGGCCCGUCAAGGGUUACUGAAUUCAGAUAAACUGCGAAUUCCAGACAUUUAUGUGCGGGAGUCAGACUGCGAGUGAUAAGAUCCGUAGUCGAAAGGGAAACAGCCCAGAUCACCAGUUAAGGUCCCAAAAUUCAUGCUAAGUGGAAAAGGAUGUGGAGUUGCGCAGACAACUAGGACGUUGGCUCAGAAGCAGCCAUCAUUCAAAGAGUGCGUAAUAGCUCACUAGUCGAGUGACGCCGCGCCGAAAAUUUACCGGGGCUAAGCAUGAUACCGAAACUGUGGAUGUGCGUUUAUGCACGUGGUAGGAGAGCGUUCUAGCGGCGGUGAAGCAUGACUGAGAAGACAUGUGGAGCUUCUAGAAGUGAGAAUGCCGGUAUGAGUAACGAAAGACAGGUGAGAAUCCUGUCCGCCGCAAGACUAAGGUUUCCUGGGGCAGGCUCGUCCGCCCAGGGUAAGUCGGGACCUAAGGCGAGGCCGAGAGGCGUAGUCGAUGGACAACAGGUUGAAAUUCCUGUACUGCACCGAAUCGUUAUGAGCGAUGGAGGGACGCAGGAGGCUAGCAGCGCGUGGUGCUGGAUACCACGUUCAAGCGUCAAGUCUGAGAG